AAUGGGGGCAACCCUGAUCCAGCCAUGCCGCGUGUGUGAAGAAGGCCUUCGGGUUGUAAAGCACUUUCAGUAGGGAGGAAGGCUUAUCCUUAAUACGGGUGAGUACUUGACGUUACCUACAGAAGAAGCACCGGCUAAUUUCGUGCCAGCAGCCGCGGUAAUACGAAAGGUGCGAGCGUUAAUCGGAAUUACUGGGCGUAAAGCGCGCGUAGGCGGUUUGCUAAGUCAGAUGUGAAAGCCCCGGGCUCAACCUGGGAACUGCAUUUGAAACUGGCAGGCUAGAAUGCAGUAGAGGGAGGUGGAAUUUCCGGUGUAGCGGUGAAAUGCGUAGAGAUCGGAAGGAACACCAGUGGCGAAGGCGGCCUCCUGGACUGACAUUGACGCUGAGGUGCGAAAGCGUGGGGAGCAAACAGGAUU
rnacentral:rRNA from 1 species